rnacentral:rRNA from 1 species
ACCUCGCGAGAGCAAGCGGACCUCAUAAAGUGCGUCGUAGUCCGGAUUGGAGUCUGCAACUCGACUCCAUGAAGUCGGAAUCGCUAGUAAUCGUAGAUCAGAAUGCUACGGUGAAUACGUUCCCGGGCCUUGUACACACCGCCCGUCACACCAUGGGAGUGGGUUGCAAAAGAAGUAGGUAGCUUAACCUUCGGGAGGGCGCUUACCACUUUGUGAUUCAUGACUGGGGUGAAGUCGUAACAAGGUAACCGUAGGGGAACCUGCGGUUGGAUCACCUCCUUA